CAGUCGAGCGAGUCUGCCUUGAAGAUCGGAGUGCUUGCACUCUGUGAAACAAGAUACAGGCUAGCGGCGGACGGGUGAGUAACACGUGGGUAACCUGCCCAAGGGAUCGGGAUAACACCUGGAAACAGAUGCUAAUACUGGAUAAUAACAGAUGAUGCCUAUCAACUGUUUAAAAGAUGGUUCUGCUAUCACUCUUGGAUGGACCUGCGGUGCAUUAGCUAGUUGGUAGGGUAACGGCCUACCAAGGCGAUGAUGCAUAGCCGAGUUGAGAGACUGAUCGGCCACAUUGGGACUGAGACACGGCCCAAACUCCUACGGGAGGCAGCAGUAGGGAAUCUUCCACAAUGGACGCAAGUCUGAUGGAGCAACGCCGCGUGAGUGAAGAAGGGUUUCGGCUCGUAAAGCUCUGUUGUUGGUGAAGAAGGACAGGGGUAGUAACUGACCUUUGUUUGACGGUAAUCAAUUAGAAAGUCACGGCUAACUACGUGCCAGCAGCCGCGGUAAUACGUAGGUGGCAAGCGUUGUCCGGAUUUAUUGGGCGUAAAGCGAGUGCAGGCGGUUCGAUAAGUCUGAUGUGAAAGCCUUCGGCUCAACCGGAGAAUUGCAUCAGAAACUGUCGAGCUUGAGUACAGAAGAGGAGAGUGGAACUCCAUGUGUAGCGGUGAAAUGCGUAGAUAUAUGGAAGAACACCGGUGGCGAAGGCGGCUCUCUGGUCUGUUACUGACGCUGAGGCUCGAAAGCAUGGGUAGCGAACAGGAUUAGAUACCCUGGUAGUCCAUGCCGUAAACGAUGAGUGCUAAGUGUUGGGAGGUUUCCGCCUCUCAGUGCUGCAGCUAACGCAUUAAGCACUCCGCCUGGGGAGUACGACCGCAAGGUUGAAACUCAAAGGAAUUGACGGGGGCC
rnacentral:rRNA from 1 species